UACGAAGGAUCCUAGCGUUGUCCGGAUUUCCUGGGUUUAAAGGGAGCGUAGGCGGACUUUUAGGUCAGUGGUGAAAGCCUGCAGCUUAACUGUAGAAUUGCCAUUGAAACUGAUUGUCUCGAGUGCGGUUGAGGUCACUGGAAUGUAUCAUGUAGCGGUGAAAUGCUUAGAUAUGAUACAGAACACCAAUUGCGAAGGCAGGUGACUAAACCGUAACUGACGCUGAGGCUCGAAAGCGUGGGGAUCAAACAGG
rnacentral:rRNA from 1 species